AUUGAACGCUGGCGGCAGGCCUAACACAUGCAAGUCGAGCGAGCGGCGGACGGGUGAGUAGUGUAUUAGGAUGUGCCCAAUAGAGGGGUAUGACUACGAGAAACCGUGGAUAAUACCGCAUAAUACGCUUUGGACCCAUGUGGGAUUAGCUAGUAGGUGGGGUAAAGGCUCACCUAGGCGACGAUCUCUAGCUGGUCUGAGAGGAUGAUCAGCCACACUGGGACUGAGACACGGCCCAGACUCCUACGGGAGGCAGCAGUGGGGAAUAUUGCACAAUGGGCGCAAGCCUGAUGCAGCCAUGCCGCGUGUAUGAAGAAGGUCUUAGGGUUGUAAAGUACUGUCAGCGGGGAGGCGUUACCCGCAGAAGAAGCAACGGCUAACUCCGUGCCAGCCGCCGCGGUAAUUC
rnacentral:rRNA from 1 species